rnacentral:rRNA from 1 species
CCUACGGGGGGCUGCAGUGGGGAAUAUUGGACAAUGGGGGCAACCCUGAUCCAGCCAUGCCGCGUGUGUGAAGAAGGCCCUCGGGUUGUAAAGCACUUUCAGUGAGGAAGAACGCCUGGUGGUUAAUACCCAUCAGGAAAGACAUCACUCACAGAAGAAGCACCGGCUAACUCCGUGCCAGCAGCCGCGGUAAUACGGAGGGUGCGAGCGUUAAUCGGAAUUACUGGGCGUAAAGCGCGCGUAGGUGGCUUGAUAAGCCGGUUGUGAAAGCCCCGGGCUCAACCUGGGAACGGCAUCCGGAACUGUCAAGCUAGAGUGCAGGAGAGGAAGGUAGAAUUCCCGGUGUAGCGGUGAAAUGCGUAGAGAUCGGGAGGAAUACCAGUGGCGAAGGAGGCCUUCUGGACUGACACUGACACUGAGGUGCGAAAGCGUGGGUAGCAAACAGGAUUAGAUACCCCAGUAGUC